UUCACUCACUCUAAUCGGUUAUAUAAUUGGGUACUCAUUGUCCUCUCCAUUCACCCAUAUUUUCUUAGUUAUCUCAAUUUUCUUUCAUCCCAGCUCAAGUUUUUCAAUCCAAUCUUAUCCCAUCACAACUUUGCUCAUCACGAUGAGAGCAUCGAUGUGACUCGACUUCGUGGGAGAAAUCCAGUUCUGCUGCUAAUUUGAAUCUUAACCAUGUAAAUCGUGAGGGCAGAGUUGAUGAGCUCAUCCUUUUGUCAUCAAUGUCACUUGUCACCUCACUGCCCCUUAGUUCACACACAAGCUCUUAACCCUAGCAGCAUGAGUCUUCCUCAUUGUCAUCACCAUCACCGCGGCGCCUCUUGCCUAGUUCUGCUCCCAGAGGCUAGCGAUUUCUGCGAGGCACUUGCACAUAGGGUAUGCAUCCAUACCAUCAUUUGACAUUGAUCCGGUCCAGUGAUGCCUAACUUAUCACUUGCAGAAGCAGCAAGCCUCCUCUUCUAUUGGUGAUCUUGGUCAUGAGGUUUUGAGAACCAACAUAUCAAGAUGUUGUUCAAGUUUAACUGGAUAAAAAUGGCGUUGGCUCUCGGCUGGUAAUUUGGAGUCACAAGACUUAAAGCGUUCAAAGUUUGUGGUUUAUCUCAUUACGUGGAUCACGAAAAGAGAAGGGCCCUGCUGAUGCUGCUGGUGAUCUGUUUGGAAUAACUGGAUUAAUGUCAAACACGGCAUGGAUGAGGACUCUACGUGAUAAGAUCCCCAUCGGAUUCAAUAACCUAUGGUUUAGACGUUAGACCAAGCUGGCAGUUUGGAGCGGAACUAGGCAUGCAAGAGAGGUCACGGUGAUGGUUAUGGCAAUGAGAGGAAGACUCAUGCUGCUAGUGCUAGGUUAACAAUGUGUUGUGUGUGUUUCCUAACAGGCAGUAUGGUGAGAAGGUGCAAUGAUGACAAAGGGGUGAGUCCAUCAACCCAGUGCCCGCAUCAUGACUUAUCUGAUCGAUUAAGAUUCAAAGAAGAGAAGAACUGGAAUUUCUCACAGGAAGUGGAGUCCCAUCAAUGGUGUCAUCGUGGUGAUGGGUGUCAAAAAAAAAAAAAAAAAUUUGUGAUGGGAUAAAACUAGAUUAAGAAACUUAAGAAGUUGGUUGAUGAGAGAAAAUUGAGAUAAUUGAGGAAGUAUGGGUGUAUCGGGAGGAAAAUGAGUACUCAAUUAUGUUUGGAUAUUGUGAUUUUAAUUAUGAUUUUAAUUAAAAAGUAGUUAUACUUAUUGAAUA